CAGUAGCCACGGUAAUACGUAGGGUGCAAGCGUUAAUCGGAAUUACUGGGCGUAAAGCGUGCGCAGGCGGUCAUAUAAGUCAGAUGUGAAAUCCCCGGGCUCAACCUGGGAACUGCAUUUGAGACUGUAUGGCUAGAGUGUGUCAGAGGGGGGUAGAAUUCCACGUGUAGCAGUGAAAUGCGUAGAUAUGUGGAGGAAUACCGAUGGCGAAGGCAGCCCCCUGGGCCAAUACUGACGCUCAUGCACGAAAGCGUGGGGAGCAAGCAGGAUUAGAUACCCCAGUAGUCCCUGUCUCUUAUAC
rnacentral:rRNA from 1 species